AUUCCAUGACGAGGACACUUUCUGAUUAAGUCCUUGUAUCUUUCCCAGACAUCACAUAUAGACUCGUUGUCAUGUUGCAUGAAAUUAUUGAUCUCUGAUCUCAAUCU